AAGCCAAGGUGCUAGGCCUUUGCAUUGGUCACAUCCCUCAUGUCAUGCCUUGUGCCCUUUUCCUUCAGGGAGGCUGGCGGUGUCUCUGCCCCUGUGGCUCCUGGAGGCAGGUGGCAAUAAGUACUUCUCGAGGAGAAUGAACCUCGAGUAUCUACAGCUGCUCUAUUCCAUUCCCGCCCCUCUCGUUAGGGCUUAAAAAGAGUACGGAGUCCAUGAUGCAGGUGGUUUGAAUGAAAAGCAACCCCCCUUAGCCUGGGUAUUUGAAACCAUGGCUCCCGGUUAGUGGUGCCGUUUGGGGCGCGUUAGGAAGAUGUUGGCAGAUGUACAUCGCUGGGGUGGGCUUUCUCGUUCCCCCUCUCUGCCUUGUGCUGCUCUUGAAACUGCAAGCUCUCAGCUGCCUGCUGCCGCCAUGCAGGUCAUUUGUGGGUAUGCUUCUCUUCUCUGAUGGACUCUUACUUACUUCUUUGGAAUUGUAAGGUGAAUCAAACCCAUCCUUCCUGAAGUGUCCUCCUCGGUCAUAUGAUCCAUCACAGCAUCAGAAAAGUAACAUCUAUGCUGCUGAGUCCCUUCUCUGCCACCCCAUCACUCAAGGCAAGCCCAGGUCCCCAGGCAAUCACACGGCAGCAUUCUUAUCGUGACUCCGGGGAAGCAGCCCCGCCUCCAUGUUGGGUCUGUGCACACAGGCAGCUCUGUUAGGCAGUUAAAGACACACAUGGGAAGAACGAAAAGCACGAGGCAGUGUUUAUGGAAAUCGAGAUGCCCUUGUAAUUAAAGACUGCUCUGCAGGGAGAACCUUUGGAACUUGAGCUCUGUGAGUAAGAAAAAAAAAGCCAGAACCAAAGUCUGGUGACCUAGGGACUCAUCCAGCCCUCACCUCCCUAGCAGGAGGAGGUGGAUGAGGCGAUGUGGUUUUCUCAGGACAACUGCCAUUUGGUUCUGUCUGUGGCUUAAAGGUUAGUGAAGAAGCAGUAACCUGUACUCUGUACUCUGCACAAGUUGUACUCUGGUUUUGUGUUUGGAUCCGGAAUGUUCUUAGGAGAAUUGCAGGUCUUAGUAAUUCUGAGGAGGGCUAGGGAUGGGUGGCAGGGCCUCAUCCAUGCUGGGCCCCUUCACAGAUUCCAUUAACUGCUACAUUUCACAAUAGCUGGCAUUUCAAAAUUAACCAUCGAUGUUGGGAGUCGCCAAGUAAAAGAUUUCUAGACAGACGCUGCUGUUGGCAGCCCCACGGGCACACAGAGGGACGGAGUGUGAGCAGUGUCUCGGAUGAACGCAGGCUCGUCCCAGAGUGGGAUUCCUGUUCACCUGGGGGAUGUAGAACAGGUGAUGGUUUGUCUUGGUCAUCAACUUGACAAGGUCUAAAGCCAACUGGGAGACAGGUCUCUGUUUCGCAGAUUAUGCAGGCUGGGUUAACUGAGGUAGAGAGACUCACCCUAAGCAAGGGCAGUAUCGUUCCACGGGCUGGGGUUCUUUGUUGAAAAAGGAAGACAGCAUGGCCAACACCGACAUUCAUCUUUCUGCUUCCUGAGGGUGGGCACAAGGUGAUCAUCGGCUUCUUGUUCGUCUACCAUAAUGGACUGUACCCUGGAACUGUGAGCUGAAGUAAGCCUCCCUUCUUAAGAUUACUCGUAUCAGGUAUUUUGUCACAGCAACAACAAAAUGUGACCAAUACACAUGCCCACUGAAGAGCACCCGCUCCUGCACCCAAAGGACCAGUAUCACCAGAAAGAAGACCAAGUGCCAGCAAGUGGCUUUCGGACAGGUAGGAUGUGAGAUACAGGAGGCCAGCAUAGAGGAGGAGGGUUAUGCUGGGGUUGAACGUGAGACAGACAGAAGGGAGAAUGAGUCACUGGUUACUCAGAUGGAGCUCUGGCGACAGACUCACCUGGCUGGGCCCAGCUUGCCUUAGGGAGUAGAACAGGUAGAGGUCUGGGUUGGGCAGGACAUGGAGACUUAGCGUCAGGCAACAGAAGUUUGGCUUUUGAUGAUCCCGUGCCCUCAGGAACAGAGUUCCUUCCUGCCUUGCUCCACCUCACAGGUCUCAGCUACCCAUCAUGUUAUCCAGGCUACCAGUAGAGUCAUCUUGACACAUUAGUCUGCCCCCUCCUCAGCCUCUUCAGGCUAGAUGCCUGCUACAUUUUCAAACAUCCCCAACUCAACCACCUUCCCCAGUGGAGCAUCCAUCCUGGCUGAAGAUUCCAUCGUUUCUUUUCUGUUGUGGCCUCCUCGACUGCCCCGACUUCUACAUGCUCCUGGAUGCCGCCAUGACUUUCGGACUCUGCCCUAGACUGAGCAACUUUCCUAAAAUGCUCUAAUAGAUUUCCUCUGUCCUAGGGAUGGAACCCAGCUCCUGACCCAGCUUCCAAUUCUGUAGAUGUCCACUGAGCACCUCCUGAGUAUCAGACACUUGUCCUAGGGAUGGGUGCUUCUGUGCCGGAAGAGACAGAGGACCACUGCCUCCAGCCAACAGGGUGACAGCAAACAAACAAGUUUCCUUAUCCGUAUGAUGUGGUGAGGUCGGAGGGUAAUAGCAUGCAGGCUACGGAAGGUGCUGCAGUGAGCGAGCUCUUGCCUUGCAAGUGUGAGGACCUGAGUUCCAUCCCUAGAACCUGUAUAGAAAACAGUGAUGCACACUUGUGAGGAGCCCAGCGCUAAUGCAGUAGGAAGCAGGACAGGCAGAUGCUCGGAGCUCAUUGCCAGUUAGUCCAGCCCACUUGGCAAAGUUCUAGUUCAAUGAGAGACCCUGUCUGAAAUAAUGAAAAGCUUCCUGAGGAACAACAUCUGAAAUUGCUUUUGACCUCCACACAUGUGUGCAGAUGCACAUGUACACACACACACCAAAAUAAAAAGAAAAAUGAUGAAUAAGGUAGAAGUGGCCAUGAGGGCUAUAUAGUAUGAGGAAACCCUGUAGAAGAUCCAAGUUGUGAAAUCUAUGUUUAGUUGUACAGAGGCCAGCUUGGGCGUGACAUCCACAUCAUAGGACUCUGGAGACUGGGAGUACAUGCUAAUAAGACUGGGGAAGGACAAGAGCUACUGCGGAUGUUACUGUGAUAGUCUUUAGGACUGAAUUGUAUCCCUCCAAAUCUGUAUGCUUGAGCCCUAAUCCCCAUUAGGCCUGUGUUUGUAAAUCGGGACUUUGGAAAGGUCAUUUACUUUAGAUGAAACCUCAGAGCUCUGUCUUCAUCCAAUAGGAUUGGUGUCAUGACAAAAAGGAGAGACACCAUGAGUGACCGGGCAUCCAUGCCACAGCAUAGGAAGACAUGGCCUGAGGACGGCCAUUGGCAAGUCAAGGAGAAGCCAAGCCGGCUGGACAUCUUGAUCUUGGACGUCCAGUCUCAGAAUAGAGAUAGUAAGUGUCUGCAGUUUUAGCCACAUACUGUGGUGCUUUGUUGUGACAUCUCCAGUAGACUGGUCCAGAUGUGCAAUGUUGGAGGGUCCAGAUGGACACAGCCCCCUUUGGAGGUGAUAUCAACAUCAAGCAGGACUCCAUGGAGAUGGCAGCCUGGGAUGCCAGUAGGAGAAGCUGCCUCUCAGUUUUUUCACUCCACCCUGGGGCACCAGAUGCUGCCAGGCCUCUGGGUACAACAGAGCCUACAGAGGAAGGAUGGAGAUUGGACCUGAGCCACAAAAGAGGUAUUGAUGGGUUGUGGGCGGGCUCGGGAGGCUGAGGACAGUACCAGGAUAGCCCUGGACUGACAUAGGCUUGCUGGCCUGUGAGCAGUAUGGCUGCUCCUCUGUGUUGAGCCUCAGUUUCUUUUGCUCUUUCCUACUCUUCCCAUUCUCCCCCUCCUAAUACCCUCCCAGCCUGUACAGCAGCUGCCUACCAGUCAAGGGCUCCAGCCCUCCUGCUGCCUCCUCUCUGGGUGGGUUGCCACCCCAGUCCAGGAUGCCUUUGUUUAGAUAUGCCCUUACCUGCCUUCCAUAUACACCCUAGAAGCCUCUGAGACGGCUGUUCUAGAAAAUAUCGACGGGACAUAGCUGUCUGGUUGAUCUCACUUGGAUCCAGGCGGCCACUGGGACCAGUGACCUACGUCUCCACUUCUGUCACCAUGACCAUCCUCUGGGAACAGGCUUCUGAUACUAUUUUCCCCAUAUCCUCACCAGGCCAGGUACCCUGGCUUUCCUCAGGACCCAGAUAUCUAGGCUCUUGAGCCCUACUGGCCUAGAGUGGGCAUUUUUCUAUUCUAUUCCCAGGGCCCUUGUCCUGUAUUGGCACCUUUCUUCUUUAUUGGGUUGACCAGCAGUCCGGUACUUGGGCUUACAUCAAGGCUGUGGAAUCUUGCAUUUAAAAUGCUAGUCCAAGGGGACAGUGCUAGUCUCAAAAGAGCAUUUGGGAUAGCUGGACAGGUGACCUAGGACGCCUUUUUGGUUCAGAUGUGUCAGUGCUGUUUCACAUCAUGAAUGCUCCAAGCUGCCCACUGUGGGGCCCCGUCUCAUCUCAUCCCUGUGGAGUCACCCACUGUUGGAUAUUUGCCAAGUGGAGAGAGAGUAAACACUCACUCCCAGAGGGUGUGCGUUUGCCCAGGCUGCUCCAUUUAUGCAGGGCCUAUGAGCAAGCUUGGUGCAGAAUCAGCUCCACCACAGCCCUUCUGAACCUGUAAAUGCUUCAGAGUCCCCUAGCCUGGCUUGUCAGUUUCUCCCAGGAGGCCGAGAGCUGGAUCCGAUCACUUCAACAGUGUUGGGCUCUGCCUUGUGUAGGUUUUCUUUGUAAUAGUUCAGAGGACUUCUCCUGUAUUCUAGCCAAUGAAUCCACUGUCAUAAGUAAUUGCAGAUGACAUUGGGACGCUUUCCACAGUGCUGUUCCGUUUGUUCCUUAGAGUCAGCUGUGAGGGACUCAGAGCUCAUGAUGAUUACCCCUCCUACUUCUAACAGAGGAGAUGCCAAGGCUUAGGGACUAUUAACAUUUUGCUCAAGGGCACACAGGCUGAGGUUGAGCAUAGUGCCCAGCUGGGAACAUUCUCUUCUGCUUGCCUGCCCGCCUACUGUCUCUGUUCCUCCCUCUUUCCUUUGGGCCUGUGGUGGGGGACUGGGUAUAGUCCUGGCUAACUAACAAGCCUUGAGAGUUUAACAAGCUAAAGUUGGGAGGCUUUUCUGCCUGAGGGGACAGACAUCCUCUUCUAAAUCUGGAGCCUCUGAAGACUCCCAUUCCAGCUUUAAACAAAUCUGAGAUUAAAAUUAGUAAAAUUAACCAUGUAGGGACAGAGGAUGUAGCUUAGUCAAUAGAGAUGGAGUGCUUGCCUGAUAUGUACAAAGCCUUGGGUUCUAGCCCCAGCAUCCCAUAAACCAUAGGCAUGGUGACCUCACCUAUAAUCCCAAUACUUAGGGGGUAGAGGCCAGAGAGCCAGGAGGGUCAUUACUGGUUCUAUAGUGAGUUUCAAGGUCAGCUUGGGUUAUAUGAGUCCCUCCCUAAUAAGCCAAAUACAUAAUUAUCCAAAUACAGUUGUAUUUCUGUGGCAAUUUUUCCAGCUUUAUGAAUACAUAUUUAGAAGCAAAUUGUUAUAUUUAUAUUUCUUUGUUUUAGAAAUAUAACCUCUUUCCCAGCCCCCCUUCUCAUUCCCCCUCCUCCUACUUCUAUG
rnacentral:sRNA from 1 species